rnacentral:rRNA from 1 species
UAGGGAAUCUUCCGCAAUGGGCGAAAGCCUGACGGAGCAACGCCGCGUGAGUGAUGAAGGUCUUCGGAUCGUAAAACUCUGUUAUUAGGGAAGAACAAAUGUGUAAGUAACUAUGCACGUCUUUACGGUACCUAAUCAGAAAGCCACGGCUAACUACGUGCCAGCAGCCGCGGUAAUACGUAGGUGGCAAGCGUUAUCCGGAAUUAUUGGGCGUAAAGCGCGCGUAGGCGGUUUUUUAAGUCUGAUGUGAAAGCCCACGGCUCAACCGUGGAGGGUCAUUGGAAACUGGAAAACUUGAGUGCAGAAGAGGAAAGUGGAAUUCCAGGUGUAGCGGUGAAAUGCGCAGAGAUAUGGAGGAACACCAGUGGCGAAGGCGACUUUCUGGUCUGUAACUGACGCUGAUGUGCGAAAGCGUGGGGAUCAAACAGG